UUACGGAAGGCAGCAGUAGGGAAUAUUGGGCAAUGGAGGAGACUCUGACCCAGCCAUGCCGCGUGCCGGAAGAAGGCCUUCUGGGUCGUAAACGGCUUUUGCCAGGGAAGAAUAAGCACUACGUGUAGUGUGAUGACGGUACCUGGUGAAUAAGCACCGGCUAACUCCGUGCCAGCAGCCGCGGUAAUACGGAGGGUGCGAGCGUUGUCCGGAUUUAUUGGGUUUAAAGGGUGCGUAGGCGGCUGUUUAAGUCCGGGGUGAAAGCCCGUUGCUCAACAACGGAACGGCCCUGGAUACUGGAUAGCUGGAGUUUAGUGGAGGCUGGCGGAAUGGACGGAGUAGCGGUGAAAUGCAUAGAUACCGUCCAGAACCCCGAUUGCGCAGGCAGCUGGCCACGCUACAACUGACGCUGAGGCACGACAGCGUGGGGAGCGAACAGGAUUAGAUACCCCGGUAGU
rnacentral:rRNA from 1 species